rnacentral:rRNA from 1 species
UACGGAGGAGGCGAGCGUUGUCCGGAAUUAUUGGGCGUAAAGAGCUUGUAGGCGGUCUGUCGCGUCUGCUGUGAAAAUCCGGGGCUCAACCCCGGACUUGCAGUGGGUACGGGCAGACUAGAGUGUGGUAGGGGAGACUGGAAUUCCUGGUGUAGCGGUGAAAUGCGCAGAUAUCAGGAGGAACACCGAUGGCGAAGGCAGGUCUCUGGGCCACUACUGACGCUGAGAAGCGAAAGCAUGGGGAGCGAACAGG